rnacentral:rRNA from 1 species
GAGUNCAGAAGGGGAGAGUGGAAUUCCAUGUGUAGCGGUGAAAUGCGUAGAUAUAUGGAGGAACACCGGUGGCGAAAGCGGCUCUCUGGUCUGUCACUGACGCUGAGGCUNGAAAGCGUGGGUAGCGAACAGGAUUAGAUACCCUGGUAGUNCACGCCGUAAACGCUGAGUGCUAGGUGUUAGGUCCUUUCCGGGACUUAGUGCCGACGCUAACGCAUUAAGCACUCCGCCUGGGGAGUACGACCGCAAGGUUGAAACUCAAAGGAAUUGACGGGGGCCCGCACAAGCGGUGGAGCAUGUGGUUUAAUUCGAAGCAACGCGAAGAACCUUACCAGGUCUUGACAUCCCGAUGCCCGCUCUAGAGAUAGAGUUUUUCUUCGGAACAUCGGAGACAGGUGGUGCAUGGUUGUCGUCAGCUCGUGUCGUGAGAUGUUGGGUUAAGUCCCGCAACGAGCGCAACCCUUAUUGUUAGUUGCCAUCAUUAAGUUGGGCACUCUAGCGAGACUGCCGGUAAUAAACCGGAGGAAGGUGGGGAUGACGUCAAAUCAUCAUGCCCCUUAUGACCUGGGCUACACACGUGCUACAAUGGUUGGUACAACGAGUCGCAAGCCGGUGACGGCAAGCUAAUCUCUGAAAGCCAAUCUCAGUUCGGAUUGUAGGCUGCAACU